rnacentral:lncRNA from 1 species
UGUAUGUAUAUAUAGUGCAUUAAUUCUUUCUUUUUAUGCAAAACAAAAUGUGGAAAACGAAUAUUUCUAAUACAAGGUAGGGGUAAGAUUUGCGUAUAUUCCAUCCUCCCCAAACUCCACACAUGGGAUCACACUGGACUUGUUGUUGUUUGUUGUAAAAUGAGGAAAAAUAAUUGAAAUAAAAUUUUACAUGCAAGUAAUUGUAAAUUUCUUGUUUUGAACAGGGUGAUUUAUAUGAUCAUGAGAGUUUGGUGAAGGCUAUAAAGCAGGUGGACGUGGUAAUAUCAACAAUGGGGAUGAUGCAAUUGGGUGAUCAAGUUAAGCUCAUUGCUGCUAUCAAAGAAGCUGGAAAUAUUAAGGUACUAAAUGGUUCUUAUUUUUAAAUAUUUUAGGAUACAUUUAGCAUAAGUACUCCGUCAUUUCUAUCUGUUAAUGCUCAUUCAUAGUACUUUGAUACCAAAAAAAAAGGGCAGCCGCUAUGCGUGGGGUGCGGAAAAGGGUCCGACAUUGUACGCAACCUUACUCUAUAUUUCUGCAAGAUUUCUGCAAGAGGUUGUUUUUACGAACUGGUGACCUUUUGGUCUAAUGGCAGCAACUUUACCACUACUUUGAUACAAUUAGCCUGUAUAACAUUUGAACAAAUAUAACACAAGAAGUAAUGUAGGUCAAAGGAUAAUAAGGGAAUCUUGAUAACUAAGUUGAUAAAAAUUCUUAAAUUUAUAGAUUGCAUUUGAAUUAGAGAAUCUAAACUUGAUCGAUAUGCCCCAUCACAUGAUACCUCAAAUUAAGGGUGUUAGCCUCCUUGAAUUAACACAUCAAAUGAGUUAAUUUCCUAAAAUGGUCCGAAUUUUCAGUCUGAUUUUUCAGGCAACACCAGUUUUACAUAAUGUUUAUGGAAAUAAAUUAUCUCAUACUUAAAUUUUUCAGAGAUUCUUCCCUUCGGAGUUUGGUAUGGAUGUUGAUAAGACCAAUGCUGUGGAACCAGCAAAGUCUGCAUUUGCUGUGAAAGUUCAAAUCCGCAGAGCUAUUGAAGCUGAAGGAAUUCCUUAUACUUAUGUCUCAUGCAACUGUUUUGCUGGUUAUUUCUUACCAACUAUGGUCCAGCCUGGUGCCACUGUUCCCCCUAGAGACAAAGUCAUCAUUCCUGGGGAUGGAAAUGUUAAGGGUACGCGCAAAAAAGUUCUUAUCCCCGCGACACUAGUGUUGGUUGGCGACUCCAUUGAUUUGUAUGUCUCAUUUUUGUAUACUGUCUGUUUGUUUGUUUGCAGCUGUAUUCAAUGAAGAACAUGAUAUUGGCACUUAUACUAUUAAAGCUGUUGAUGAUCCGAGAACGUUAAACAAGACCCUCUACAUUAAGCCUCCCAAAAACACGUUAUCGUUCAAUGAGCUAGUGGCUAUGUGGGAGAAAAUGAUUGGAAAAACUCUGGAGAAAAUCUACAUUCCAGAGGAGCAAAUUCUCAAAGACAUCGAAAGUUAGUUAUCUUAUCAUCUCUCUUUAAUUUAAGAUUGUUCAUUCAAUUUAGCAUUGGUGAUCCUGAUGUUGUGUAUAUUGUAUACUGUUGCAGCAUCUCCAAUGCCAUUGCCUGUUAUACUAGCAAUCAACCACGCAACAUUCGUGAAGGGUGAUCAAACCAAUUUUAAGAUCGAGCCAUCAUUUGGGGUUGAGGCCUCGGAACUUUAUCCAGAUGUCAAGUACACCACUGUGGAGGAUUACCUUGGUCACUUUGUCUAAAGUUUACACGUUUAAUGUCUCCGAUCACUCGAAUAAAUUGUUAUACGAUGGGUGUUGUCAAAACAUUUUGUCUUGAUUUGUGAGUGUAUGUAACCUACGUGACCGGAGACUUGGUGAAUGGUCUGUUUUAAGCUUAUAUCUGUUUUCAAUAUCAUCUAAGUAUAUUAUGAAACUACAAAAAAUGGAAAACAUUGGUGGAUUUUUGCUUUUGCAUUAUUGUCUACCUUCUUGUACCGACUCUUCAUUCAGAGCGAUGCGUGCCACCUAUCCCCGUCAUUAAUUCAAUUAAGAACCUAUGCAAUAGUAUCGCGAUCAAAGAGCUGACUAAGGGAAUGGGCGAAUACAUAGGAGCGGAAAAUGUUGUCAAUUUGGUAUGAUGAAAUAAUGAGGUCUUACCCUACCAUUAUCAUGCUUUAGUAAUACUCCAGGAAGUUCUUCUCUGCUUUUGCCAACUAGUUAUUAGGUAAACCCUCCAACUUUAGGUGCAACAGUGUAUGCUUCAUUCUAGACUGGAUCAUGAUCCUUUCAUAAUUAGAGUAAUUUUUUGUCUGAGGGUGACAAGACUUUUCAGCAGCAACAGUGUUAGGAUGAUUAGACAUGAAGUAAACUUGAAGAUUAAUAAAGAAGUCACAAAUAAAGGAAAAUAGGAUUCAGAAUAUUUAGCUAAAAAUUAAAACCAGCCAAAAUUUCUUUGAGGCAUAGAGUCCCUUUAAACAAACUUCUUUGGCGUUGCUUUUGUUAAUUAUUCUGCUGCCUCAAAGGCUAAAACCUUUAACUUCUUUUUACUCAAAGUUCAUCAGUCCCCAUAUAUUGCCAUUAUUGUUAUGUGGUAGAGAAAAAUUAAAUGGAAAAAGAGGGAGAAAUAACAAAUUAUGUACUUUAAUUAAUGGAAUUGUUGCUGUACCUUCUUUAGAUAUAUUUACGAAUCAUAGCGUCCACUCUAACCCCUCCAAUAAUGCAAACACGACCCUAUCUCAAUAUCAAAGUGAAGCUGCCUUAACAAUUUGGAAAAUGGCACUAAAUUUCUGCAACCCGAAAAGGAGUCCUCACUCAUCAAUGACUACAUGCUCGGAUCCGCCAAAAAUAUCGCCACAUCGGUGUCAGAUCCUCCGAACAUGCACUACUUCAGACACAGGUAUGAAAGAUAUUUUUGAGGGCCUGAACUACAUAACUUAUAAAUAAUAACUCUCCCAUAACCUCCCUCAUCCACGUGUCGGGGCCGGAAAUGGCCCCAACACUGGUGUUAAUAGUGGCAUCGACUCUUCCCGUGGCGGUGCCGCCGCAACUAGCGCCCUCCUUGGCAACAACUCCAUCACUUUGCCAUCCUUUAUUCUCUCCUUUAAGUCACCUGCAAAAGAGAGAUUAAUAACUCCAAACUUUAUAUGACCGGAAGUGAUGAAACAUUUUAAUAAUAUCCUUACUUGUGUGUUUGAUAACAAAAAACUCCCCAUUGGCUUUAGCAGAAGCUGACAAACGGACAAGAACAGGUGUAACAAUGGUGAGAACAGCCCAAAAGAAUAAAAUCAAAAUAAAAGUUCUCCCACUCAUUUGAUAGAGAAUUUUCAGAAAGACAUUAAAAUGAAGGAUUUUAUGUAGUAAGCAAAACUGUAUGUAGUUUGGCUUAGGUACUACAAGAAGACUUUUAAUUACUUAGCUGGCCAUGUUUUAGGAACAAUUGCAUUGAUGACUAUUCCAAACUACUACGAAUAAUGCCCAAUUGGACGUCUAUGAUUUGUAUAAAUAAAACCCCAUUUUGUAAUAAAAGUCACACACUAUGAUGAUAAUCUUGUUAAUUUCUCUGUUUCGGUUGUUAGGAAGUUGUUACACCGUACCACUUGUGUGUUUAUAAUUAAGUAUUCACAUGGCAUAUCAUAUCCUUACUCAUACAGCGCAGUUUAUCAACUCAUUUUAGCCCAAAAUCAUCUUAUCUUCGAAAUUUCCCCUUCAAAUUAGGCACAUACUGUUAUGUUAGUUAAAGAGUCAAUGAGAAUUGAACAGACACCUUUGACACUAAGCACAGGGUGUAGUGGACUUCUAUAUGCACUUUCAAGGAGUCCGAAACCUAAAUGUGGUUUUUUUUUUACUCAAAAUACGUUUUUAAGUGUUAAAAAAGUUACCUUUCUGAAGCAAUAAACAAAAUGAAAACAACGUUUUAGGUCAAAAACGUAUUUUUUUAAUAUUUAAAAACGUAUUUUAAGUCAAAAAGAACCACAUUUAGGUUCCGGACUCUUCCAAGAAGCAACUUCUUCUCAAAAGCAAAUUGAAAAGACAACUCGGUGCACAAACUCCCACUGUGAGCAAUCCCGAGGAUGGCUGGACCACAUAGAGUCGGUUGUAUGUAGUCCCAACUCAUGCCUAAUAUUUUUGCAAUAGACUAUUUUUAGGGUUUAAACCCAGUUUCCUGGUCACAAAGUGACAACUUUUAUCCUUGCGCCUAUCUCCUUUUGCAAGAACAAAUACAUGGGUGAAAUUUAAAUGACUGAGUUCUCUUCCUAGUUUGGGUUCUAAAUGUUUCCAAACUGCUGACAACAAUAACAACGGCCAGUGAAAUUCUACUAGUGGGAUCUGAGGAGGAUCGUGUGUACGCAGACCUUACCCCUACCGCUGACCUUGAAACAAAAUAUUGAAGGAGAAAGAAAACAGUUUUGCUAGUUAAAACGCAGCAAUCUACUGCUAAAAAUAAUUGACAAGGGAAUCCUACGAGGGACACCUUCCCCGAAAAUUACAGUGUAUAUAUAAGAUCACCCACUGCAUAAUGCAUACAAGGGACAAAAGAAACAGAGUCGUCCAAUUAUAUCAAAUCAAUGACAUUUAGCAAAUUCAUAAUUGAGGAAGAUGCUAGUAAUUUUCUACGCUCUUAUCUCCUGAGUAGUGAGUAGUGGAGGAUCAUCUGGAAACAAGAAAACUCUGCAUAGUUUGUCAUGGCAAUUACAAGAUGCAGAAAACCAUACAUUUUCUAUUAAAACAUGGCGCUAGAGUAAAUAGCAAAUUAGUAUAACAAGGGUUAUUGAGAUAGUAUUACACUCUCUAAUCUUUGGAUGGUUAAGAAUGAGAAGGGAGAGUAAUCAUAAACUUGACAUAGUACUAAAAUUAAUUUAAUAAAUAAGCAAUUACUUAUUUGGACAUAAAUGCUGAAAAUGAUGUUUGCUGAAAAAGUAAUGAUAAAUAUCCUUAAUAAAAAGCUUAUUAGAAAUAACUUUACUUUUAGUUCCAAAGUAAAGCCCUCAGUGGGGAGAUACCAAGUACAAUUAUUUUCAAUAAUCAAAUACUCCUUUUGGAUUUGGGAGGAUAAUUCAACUGGAAAUAAAUCCAAGUUAUUCUAAGUGGUCGUUUGGUACACGAGAUAAGAUGAGAUAAAGUGUGGUAUUAAACUUUGGACCACAUAUUUGGUUAUCUAUCCUGAAUAUUCCAUCUUAUUUCAUUUAAUCCUGGGAUUAUAAUCCGGAAUAAUUUAGUCGCCAUACCAAAUUAUUAUAUUCCUAAAAGUAAGAAAAAUCUUAAAAAUUGCUAAACAUGCCCCCCUUAGAAAAAGAAGAAAAAAAGUCAAUCAAUCUCUUAACGGAAAGGAAAAAAGGAAAAGCCAAAUUGCCAAAUUUGCCCUUUGGAGGCCCAAGGCAAAUUGGUACCCUUCAUUCUGCCCUACCAAUACUUCCUGAAUCCGUCAUUUCUCACUCUCUCUUGUGUAGGCUGUAGCUAAGCCACAACACAAACAGCUUGACUGCAUAACCCACUGAUCAAAUAGAGGGCAAAACGAAGACGAAGGAGAGUCGAAGUUGAAAAAUGGGAACCCUUGGGAAAGCAAUUUACUCCCUAGGAUCCAUCGUUCGAGCGACCGGCCAAGCCCUUGAUCGCGUCGGCAAUCGACUUCAAGGCAGCUCCUACUUAGAGGAACACCGUAAUUAUCCCUUCUUCUUAACCCUAGAUCUCAUUUCUUCUUUACCGUUGUUUUUACUUGCAUAUCGUGUCACUACAUCAUCUAUGUUUGUUUAUGUUAAUUGCAUUUCAUCCAGUUGCGCUUAAUUAGUAUUCCUCAAUCUAAAAAAAUGGUUAACACAUCUGGCUUUCGGAGUGAGGACAUUUAGGAAGUUGUAUAUAAUUUUAAUAAAAUUUGCAUAUUCAGAGGUUAUACGAACAAUCAAACAGGAAAAAAAAAGACUAUAAAUCUCAGCCUUUUAGAUGAAGAUAAAAUCUAGUCAAACGAAUAUUGUUUGACUCCUCAUAUAGUGCAAGUACUCUUCUUCUUGAGACAGUUUGAAUCCUCAUCGGAGUUCCUACCAAAAAAGAAUUAGAAUAGGGCGGAAAAGCCUUUUGGAAUGGGUUUUAUAAUGGAAGUUCUAAUGUGUAUUUGAAUGUUAUAUUCAGUAGUUUUAGUUAACGGAUGAUAUGUGCAGACAAAGAACAAGUGGAUGAAAGAUGUAAUAUGUAAGAAUGCAGGUGUAAUGAGCUGUAAAUGUUUGAGAUGUUUCAGACUAUAUGAUAGCAAAAGUACUUGCACGAUAUUUGAAGCGUAAGUGGUGUUAUCUAUUGUCAAUGCAAACCUGUUUUGCUGGUAGAAUUAGCUACUUUCUUAGAACUUGUUUGUUCAUAGACAUUAGUUCACCCUAUUCUAGCUGCAUAUUAAAGCAGAUUUUCAAGGACAACUGGUGCUUACAAGAAAUAGACUUUAGGCAGUUUAUAU